UUCAUGGACUACCCAGGCUUACAGCUUACCAAUUGAGAACUGUAUAUAUAUGUCAGUUUUUGACAAGAAUUGCAGCAGGAAAAUCUCUCGAUGCACAGUUUGAAAGUGAUGAGCGUAUUACACCCUUGGAAUCAGCCCUGAUGAUUUGGGAUUCAAUUGAAAAGGAGUGUAACAAACUUCAUGAAGAAAUACAGAAUUUAAUUAAAAUUCAGGCUGUGGCUGUUUGUAUGGAGAGUGGCAGCUUUAAGGAAGCAGAAGAAGUGUUUGAAAGAAUAUUUGGUGAUCCAGAAUCU